AGUUGGGGAUGAAGUUCGGCUCCCGUAGGAGUUAGGACGUCGCGAAGAAUCCGAUCGACGCUGGCGGAGUCCUGUUCGUCGGCAAAACUUGGGAGUGUUGUGGAGGCUCGACCGCCUGGGAGGUUUGAAGAGACGUUGUCAGAGGUCGGAAGUUGGUUGGAUCCCCAGAGGGUCACUCCUGUCACAAACUUCGACUGGAGG
rnacentral:lncRNA from 1 species